AGCCGCUUUAGCUCAGCAGGUAGAGCGCAUCCAUGGUAAGGAUGAGGUCGCCGGUUCAAACCCGGCAAGUGGCUU
rnacentral:tRNA from 1 species